CUGUGACCAAAGUAUACAAUGAUCUUAUCACUGCUAAAUCCCAUGGCCACUACUCUAUACUAAUUCUCCUAGACCUUUCUGCUGAUUUUGACAUGGUUGAUCAUCAACAACUUCUUCUCAUCCUCCGUAAGCUCAGUCUACGAGAUACCACUCCUGGUGCUCUGCCUCUUCUCCCCAAUCCCUCUCUGUUGGUAUUCCCCAAGGGU